GAUGAACGCUAGCGGCAGGCCUAAUACAUGCAAGUCGAACGAUACUUGAGAGCUUGCUUUCAAGGAAAGUGGCGCACGGGUGCGUAACGCGUAUGCAACCUACCUUAAUCAGGGGGAUAGCCCGAAGAAAUUCGGAUUAACACCGCAUAAAAACACAGUACAGCAUUGUACAAUGUUCAAACAUUUAUAGGAUUAAGAUG
rnacentral:rRNA from 1 species